AGAGAGUGGCAGAGUCACUGAGGGACGCGCUUUGUACGAGUCGCUGUUGCAUUUCGCGGCCGGGAGUUGGCUCGCCAAGGGCCGAGUUGAUGUGCGCGCGGCUCUCCGAUGAGCGGAGAGACGGAGCUGAGGCGCUGACCGACGGCCCAGGCUCAUCGUCGUCCUCCGGCAUCGAGGCACAGUGAGUUUGUCAUAAUCGGGGGGCAGAUCACGGACGAGGAGUGCGGCCGGCUCGACGAAUAAGGACGAUUGCUCGACACUGUGGUUCGUCGAUCUUUCUGAUCGGCGCGAGAGAUGUCACGUCGUUGGAGAGAGAUUGACGAAUGACGCCGUGACGGAGAGCCGGCUGAUGCGCAAAUACCGGUGCACGAGGGGGACUUGCAUCUUAUACAUCGCCACGACUGCGCUUAUCACGUAGAGCAGCAUCGACGCGGCUUGGAGAAUCGGGCCGAGGGAGCGAGGGGCAGCGAGCCCUUUGGCGAGCUCGAAGGAUGCAGCUCCCAGGCGGGAGCACGAGGACACCGCCGUCGCGAGCACCGGGCAUCUACCUCGGCAUCAUCAAUGGCAACGACAUCAUAGACAAGAGCUGCAGCAGCAAGAGCGUGAAAGGUAGAGUGCGCGGCAGCAGCCGCCCCCGAGACGAAGACGAGACUGGCAAGCCGAUUUCUCUGACGGGGAUUCGUCGAGCUCUCGAUUAUCGCCCUAAGCGACACGGACCGAACUUACGGUCGUUGUCCCCGGUUCCACGACGGGAGGAUUGGCCCGCCGAAUAGUGAAAGAGGAGGUAUCGCGCAGGACCGCUCUGUCUGUUGGCGAGAGAGAGAGAGAGAGAGA